AGCCGGACUGCUCGGGGCGGAGGGGACAGCGGGGAGGCCCCGCGCAUCGCCCCCGUCCCGCUUCAGGAGGAGCCUUAGAGCGGCUCGAGCGGAGCAGCCGCCGCCCGUGACAAGCGCAGCGGAGAUCUUAUCGGCAGGAGGAAGUGCCGAGCUAUCGCUGCUUUUCUCCGAACCGUCGGCUUUACCAGGUGUCCAAAAUGACCAAAUUCACCAAGGCCACAGCUUGCUGCCAUUUCCUGAGGUUCAUGGUGACUCUGGCUGUCACCACAACUGUGUAAACCUGACUACAGACCUGCAAGUGGAAGGAAAACCCGGCAUGCCUCUGGAAAUCACCCCUGUGAUUCACCGGGUGUCAUUCCUCUGAGUAAGCAUUGAGCUCAUGUCCAGCUUGAAGAUCACUGUGCUUUAUGAAAUAAAAAUACGUAAUGUACAUCCAAGACCAUGAGUCAUGUCUGCAAUGUUCUCUGCAGCAUCUAUGUUGGUCGAUUACAAAGGUACUCAAGUGUCCUGCUGGAAUGGCGAGUGAGAAAAUUCCCUGGUGGUAACAGAGGGCCCUACAGGAUGGUGGGGUCAGCAGACGUUGUUAGGAAGGCAAGCCAGAUAAUCCAGUGUGGGAAGCAGCUCCAGAGAAGGAGAAAAGAUUGCUAAUACAACUGGAAUGAAGGACAGCAUAUAGAAAGUAUUUGCCAGUCAUGAAUUCCCCACCACCCUCAGUGAACAAUUAGGCUGAUGAUUACAGCUGCUGGUUGUAUUGGAACUGUUGAGUUAUGGUCUGAACCACUGAUUGACCACCUGAAGCAAGGACUGAGUCACCUAUGGGAGCACAGGUGAAGGCUAUUCACAUUUUUGACCUGCAGGGAUGGAGCCUGGCUGCACCUCUCCUAGACUCCAUUUAAGUGCUGACUGCCGUGGGGGGAAGGAUCACUUUCUGGAGAUCCCUCUUUUUGGAGAUUUCUGCUGUGAGCUGAGGAUGUGGAAGAGGCACAUGCCCUACCACCUGUGCAGGAACAAACAACCUGAAAAGCACCUUGAGAUGCUGUGUCGCAGAACGGAGGGGUACAUCUGCUUUGGACAUGAGAUGUGUGAACUUUGCUUGGAAAUAAGUGUUCAACUGUGAAUAGGUGUUUGGUGAAUAGGCUGUAGUCAUAAUGAAAUUAUCAAUGUAAGCAAAUCCACACUCUCAUCUUGGUGAAUUUGACAAGAGAAGAUGGCUUCAAUAUCUAGUGGUACUGUUAAUAGUUUGAUACUAUUGUUUCAUCUUCUCCAUCUAGAGAAGAUAAUAAUUUAUUGCAUUUUCUCCUAAUUUUACUACCAGGAAUGGUUUCAUUAAGUUAGCUGAAAUAUGCAGAAAUCUGGUAGCAAGAAGUGGCUUGGAAAAAUUCUGCUCUAAUAGUUGAUGCUUGCUAGUUUUAUGAAGGAAAGAGUUGAAAAUUAUAAGGAUAUACAAAUAAAGUUCGUAAUAUUGUUUUUGAACUGUUGUCUUACUCUGUUCUUUUAUGCUCUGCUUUUGACAGCCUGUAUGAGCACUUAAAAAAUAAAAGUGCUAUGAUACAUAAUAAAAGUGAGUUUCUGGGAAACCUAUGUCUGUCAGGUAGUGAUUUUAUGAAACCCAAGAAAAAAAAGUGUUAAUCUUAUCACCAACUACCAGUUUCAUCUUUAUUUCAAAGCUUCUACUUAAUCUGAAUUCCUGAACAGUCAGACCCGAACUUUUCUCACACUAAGAUGUUUCAGGUUGCACAGGUGCAUUUGAGAAGUGUUUUCCCUCAGAUGUUUGUUGAAGCCUUGGAUUAAAUCUAGAAUUUAUAUGUUAAUGAAUUUUGUGUUGAGAUAUAUUAUCAUGCUUACCUGCCGCAUGGUUUCACAAAGGGGGGUCAUUCUGCCUUUCUUACUGUUCCUUUCAAAGAAAUAUUUAAAAAUCUGGUGAUUUUAGCAGAUGAGCUAAUUAUAAUGCAAUGUUAUCUUCCUUUUUGCAUACAGUUCUCAUAGAUAUCACAUAAGAUGUAACUACCACGAAGCUUUACUUAGUGUUGAGCAGUGAGUGAUCAGUUAAAGAAUUGCCCUUCAAGUUAUUUUAAUUAUGGAAUUGGGAAAUGAUGAGGAUAAAACAGUGCUUCAAAUAUGUCUAUUCAUAUAUUGCUCGUCAGCUUCCUUGAUAACUCAGCUAUGGUCUCAUACUGAGUAUGAGAAACUCACAUGUGACAGUGAUUUCAAAUGAGUUAGCUAACCUAACUCAACUCAACUGUAAAUACUAUAAGCUAUCAACAUUGCAACAGCUAAGAGUCUUUAUCUCAGUUGUGAGUUUAUGAUUUAGAAAGCACUUAUUUCUGGUUUGAAGAUGAAAUAAAAAUUGAAAAUGUAGAUGUUGAAUCAUAAAAUCUACAAGUACUUUUAAAAAUAUUGGAGCAUCUUAAGUCCAAUUCUCAGUCUAGGAUUUGUGUAUAGGAAUGCCAGCUGUGCUUGAAGUAGUCAGGGAUGAAAGCUUUUAAUGGAAUGAAAAAUCUUUCUCUCAUUCUAGCUAAAACUGCAGUUUCCUGUGAAGUGAAAGUUACAUUUCUUUAGCGGAUAGAUGACAUACAAACAGAAAGGUAGAGUCUAACAUCUAAUGAAUAAGGCUAGAAAUUUUGUAAAGAAAUUCUACAAAGGAAAAAUCUAGUGAAGUCAUUGAACAAACUAUCAGACAGAGAGAAAGUAGUAGAGGUCCAUGCUGCAUACAUCACUAAGGAAUAUGAAAACACAUUUCUUACUGAAACAGUUCCCAGUUCCCUACAUAGCCUGGGUAUCUAUUGGCUUUAAAAGGUGAAGAAAGAAAAAGAAUAACAAGUUCUGUAAAGAAAUAUCAAAGGCCACCGGAGAAAGAUCUUUUAAAAACAGGAACAGUAGCACAUGGAAAAAUGGUCAGGGGCUACCAAAAAUGAAAGAGUAAUAACCAGCUGUUUAUUACAUUGAACCAUCAGACUACAUAUCUUACAAGCAAUAGCAAUUCAAAAUUUAUGAGGCCUAUCUGUGAGGAGUUUUUACUCAAGUUAAAAGCUGCAAUUAUAAAGUUUACCAAAGGUUUGUACUGUUUUAAAGGUUAGUUCUCUGAAUUUAGUUAGUGUUUUCAAUGAAAAAAAAAAAA